rnacentral:rRNA from 1 species
GAUGAACGCUAGCUACAGGCUUAACACAUGCAAGUCGAGGGACCGGCGCACGGGUGAGUAACACGUCUCCACCCUUCCCUUUACUCGGGGCUAGCCUUUCGAAAGAAAGAUUAAUACCCGAUAUAAAGGAUGGGGAUGCGUUCCAUUAGGUUGUUGGUGAGGUAACGGCCCACCAAGCCUUCGAUGGAUAGGGGUUCUGAGAGGAAGGUCCCCCACAUUGGAACUGAGACCCGGUCCAAACCCGUACGGGAGGCAGCAGUGAUGAAGAUUGGUCGAUGGGCGGUAGUCUGAACCAGCCAAGUAGCGUGAAGGAUGAAUGCUUAUGGGUCGUAAACUUCUUUUAUAUAAGAAUAUGUAUUAUAUGAAUAAGGAUCGGCUAACUCCGUGCCAGCAGCCGCGGUAAUUC